UCUUACUGAAACAAUAUCCUGAUAUUAAUGGGGUUGUGCAUUCUUUUGUUGUUUCUCUCUAUAUAUGAUAUUCCUUCUCAAUCUUCUAUAUACUUAACCUUGCCACCAUUGCUUCUUUCAAAGUUGGGUUAUCCUACCACCUCGUUAACAAUGGGGAAUUCUUACUGUUUUGACUAUCUGUUUGUGCUAUGCACGGUUCAGGAUUUACCAAAAUCCAGCCCUUUUAAGGGCUGCUGGUGCAGCAUUCUGGACAUCAUGUCGUGCUAUCUCAAAGCUGUUGUGAGCUACACUGGCGACCUAAAAAGAGCCUGGGGCUUAAGUUUUAAUGCUCCAUUGCUGCCUUGGCAGCUUUCAAGUUUCGACAUUGCAAAAUUGUGCCACAUACUGCUUUCCUUUUGCUCAUGACUGUUAAUUCAUUGGAUGUUCUUUGUUGCUCUGCAUAAUUUUCUAGUGUUCUUCAUUUUCAUGGCUGAUUGUUAUUAUCGCCAUGUAAUGUAUAGAGUGGGCUUUCAUUUGGCCAAGAGCCAGCAAUGGCUGGAUACAUGUAUAGGUUUUGCUGUUGUGAGGCGUGUACUAUCACCAACUUAUCAUUACUAAUGUAAAUUUGUUAUGGAAACAACUGUGCAUAUUUUGUAAAUGUAUGUUCUUCUUCUUCUUCUUCUUUCAUCCUCUAUGAUCCAAAUUAUUUUGGUAAAUUUCUCAGCGUUAGAAAUAUUUUCUAUUCUACUGCCUACAGGUUUCUUAUCGAACUUGUUGGAUGCUCAACUUACCCUUCUUCCGCCAUCGGCCGUUGUCCUUCAGAUUGAAGUUUCUGAGUUUAGUUCUCAAUGGCCGCUUUAAUUUCAAUGUUGUUUCUCAGUUGCCUUUGAACUAUACAGUAUUUCUUUAACAAGUCGUGCUCUAUCAACUUUGUUUCUUAUUCGUCACUCCGUCUUGUUUGAAAAUUAAAGAUAUAAUGGUGUGAAAAGUAAAAUUGUUAAUUUUUCAAAUGAUUUGAAAUAAUAGAUGGGAAAAAUGUUAAAAGUAUAGAAACUUUUAGGAAUUAUCUUCCAAAGAACAGUGACUAUUUAAAAAAAAAAAAAAAAUUUACUGAAGAUUAGUGACCAUUAAGAAAAGGGAAAAAAAAUAUUCUUGAAACACAACAUUGAAAGUGCAGUGGUAAUUGUGGUCUUUUCAUUUGAAGUUUCACAAGCGCAACCUGUAUAUAAUUGACUUAAAUAAUGUACAAGUAAAAAAGUAUAAUUGAAUAAAGAAUAUUUUAAUAACAUCAAUAACAUAAAUGGAAGAAAAAUAAGAAACAUUGUUAGUCAAAAAAUUAUAAGUGAGUUUUAAAUUGAUCACUCAUAUUAUCCUAAUUUAGUAUCGAAAGUUAAAUAGCAGUUUUCUUUAAUCAAUUAGCGUGCGUCUAGUUUGUUAUUUUUAAGCUAUUUUCAAUUUUACAAAAUACCGAAAACUUAUAAUAUAAAAUUCAAAACGUAUUUUUGACAUUAUAAGUAUUUUCAAUAAAAACACUAUAAACAUUCAAAAUAUGAGAAACAAGCGUUUAAAAAUAAAAUUCUAAAAAAUAAAAUAUUUUAAAAAUAAAUUUUUAAUUUUUUAAAAAAUGAUUAAUUCUAGAAAAUAGAAAAAUAAAAAUUUUGAAAAAAAUUAAAAAUUCUAAAAAUUAAACCGUUUGGUUUGUAUUUCAAUUUUCAAGUUCAUUUUAAGUGUGUGUGUUUUUAUUUUUAUUUUUUAUUUAAGUCUAUUUUAGGAUUGUUAAAAAUAUGUUUGACUUGUCAUUUUGAAAAAAUUAUUUUUUAAAACAAAAAAGUAAAACAUGUUUGUUUUGAACUUUUGAAAAUUGUUUUAUGACAUUUUAUUUCAUGAAUUUGACUAUUCAACAAAAAUAGAACAAUUUUAUGUUGGUGCUAAAGCUUGACGUACUAUUUGUUAGUCAUUUUGGUUGUAUUGACUUGCAUCAAUUAUCAAGUAAUCUAUACAUUUUUUUGUUAGUGAAUUUUACAUUUAUUUUCUCUCGCUACAAAUGUAUAAUAUAACAAAUCAUAAACUGAGUUUGAAAAAUAGAAAAUAAAAAUAAAAAUUAACGACUUGGAUUGAGAAUAUUUUUAUAUGUGUUCAUUUAAAUUUUUUAAAAUUUUUUUUACAUAAAUAAUUAUUAAAAGCUUGAACUAUUUUUAUAUUUCUCGAAAUUUUAAUUUUUUAGAAUUUUAAAAUUUUAUUUAGAAUUUAUUUUUCUUGAAUUUUAUUUUUUAAAAAUUUUAAAAUAUAUUUGUUAGAUGUAUAUAUAUUUAUUUAUUUAGAGUGUUUUUAGAAUUUUUUUUCUAAAAACAGUCAAAACGUCAAAAAUACAUUUUGAGCUUUACACUACAUGUUUAACCUUAUUUUCGAAAAUCUAUUUUCGAAAAUGUAUUUUUGAAAAUAUCAGAUCAAAGAAAUUUUCAGUAUUUUACAAAAUUGAAAGCAGAAAAUAGUUUGAACUUUUAAUAAUUAUUUACAUAAAAAUUGUAAAAAAAAAAUGUAAAUGAACACAUUAAAAUAUUCAUAGUCAACGUCAUUACCUUUUUCUAUUUUCCUUCCUAUGAUUUGAACUCAAUUUUAUUAUUUGUUUUUAUUUUAUUUUUGCAGUAAAAAAAUAGUGUAAGAUCUACCAACUUUAGAAUGUAUUUAUUAAUUUAUAAUUUAUUAGUAUAAAAUUAUUCUAUUUUUACUGAAUAAUCAAAUUUCAUGAAAUAAAAUAUCAUGAAACAAUUUUUCAAAAUUUCAAAGCUUNCACCAACUUAUCAUUACUAAUGUAAAUUCGUUAUGGAAACAACUGUGCAUAUUUUGUAAAUGUAUGUUCUUCUUCUUCUUCUUUCAUCCUCUAUGAUCCAAAUUAUUUUGGUAAAUUUCUCAGGGUUAGAAAUAUUUUCUAUUCUACUGCCUACAGGUUUCUUAUCGAACUUGUUGGAUGCUCAACUUACCCUUCUUCCGCCAUCGGCCGUUGUCCUCCGGAUUGAAGUUUCUGAGUUUAGUUCUCAAUGGCCGCUUUAAUUUCAAUGUUGUUUCUCAGUUGUCUUUGAACUAUAAAGUAUUUUUUUACCGAGUCGUGCUCUAUCAACUUUGUUUCUUAUUCGUCACUCAGUCUUGUCUGAAAAUUAAAGAUAUGAUUGUGUAAAAAGUAAAAUUGUUAAUUUUUCAAAUGAUUUGAAAUAAUAGAUGGGAAAAAUGUUGAAAGUAUAGAAACUUUUAGGAACUUCCAAAGAACAGUGACUAUUUAAAAAAAAAAGAAAAAAGUUUACUGAAGAUUAGUGAUCAUUAAGAAAAGAGAAAUAUUCUUGAAACACAACGUUGAAAGUGCAGUAGUAAUUGUGGUCUUUUCAUUUGAAGUUUCACAAGCGCAACCUGUAUAUAAUUGACUAAAAUAAUGUUCAAGUAAAAAAGUAUAAUUGAAUGAAGAAUAUUUUAAUAACAUUAAUAACAUAAAUGGAAGAAAAAUAAAAAACAUUGUUAGUCAAAAAAUUGUAAGUGAGUUUUAAAUUGAUCCCUCAUAUUAUCCUAAUUUAGUAUCGAAAGUUAAAUAUCAUUUUUCUUUAAUCAAUUAGAGUGCGUCUAGUUUGUUAUUUUUAAGCUAUUUUCAAUUUUACAAAAUACCGAAAGCUUAUAAUAUAAAAUUCAAAACGUAUUUUUGACAUUAUAAGUAUUUUCAAUAAAAACACUAUAAACAUUCAAAAUAUGAGAAACAAGCGUUUAAAAAUAAAAUUCUAAAAAAUAAAAUAUUUUAAAAAUAAAUUUUUAAUUUUUUUAAAAAAUGAUUAAUUCUAGAAAAUAGAAAAAUAAAAAUUUUGAAAAAAAUUAAAAAUUCUAAAAAUUAAACCGUUUGGUUUGUAUUUCAAUUUUCAAGUUCAUUUUAAGUGUUUUUUUUUUAUUUUUUAUUUAAGCCUGUUUUAGGAUUGUUAAAAAUAUGUUUGACUUGUCAUUUUGAAAAAUUAUUUUUCAAAACAAAAAUGUAAAACAUGUUUGUUUUGAACUUUUGAAAAUUUGUUUUAUGACAUUUUAUUUCAUGAAUUUGACUAUUCAACAAAAAUAGAACAAUUUUAUGUUGGUGCUAAAACUUGACACAAUAUUUGUUAGUCAUUCUGGUUGUAUCGACUUGCAUCAAUUAUCAAGUAAUAUAUACAUUUUUUUGUUAGUGAAUUUUACAUUUAUUUUCUCUCGCUACAAAUGUAUAAUAUAACAAAUCAUAAACUGAGUUUGAAAAAUAGAAAAUUAAAAUUAAAAUUAACGACUUGGUUUGAGAAUAUUUUUAUGUGUUCAUUUAAAUUUUUCUAAAAUUUUUUUUACAUAAAUAAUUAUUAAAAGCUUGAACUAUUUUUAUAUUUCUUGAAAUUUUAAUUUUUUAGAAAUUUUAAAUUUUAUUUAGAAUUUAUUUUUCUUGAAUUUUAUUUUUUUAAAAUUUUAAAAUAUAUUUGUUAGAUGUAUAUAUAUUUAUUUAUUUAGAGUGUUUUUAGAAUUUUUUUCUAAAAAUAGCAAAACACCAAAAAUACAUUUUGAGUUUUACACUACAUGUUUAACCUUAUUUUCGAAAAUAUCAUAUCAAAGAAAUUUUCAGUAUUUUACAAAAUUGAAAGCAGAAAAUAGUUUGAAAACAUUUUUUUAAAAAAAUUUCUAGGAAAAAAAUUAAAAUAAAAAUCGUUUAAACUUUUAAUAAUUAUUUACAUAAAAAUUGUAAAAAAAAAAUGUAAAUGAACACAUUAAAAUAUUCAUAGUCAACGUCAUUACUUUUUCUAUUUUCCUUCCUAUGAUUUGAACUCAAUUUUAUUAUUUGUUUUUAUUUUAUUUUUGCAGUAAAAAAAUAUUGUAAGAUCUACCAACUUUAGAAUGUAUUUAUUACUUUAUAAUUUAUUAAUAUAAAAUUAUUCUAUUUUUACUGAAUAAUCAAAUUUCAUGAAAUAAAAUAUCAUGAAACAAUUUUUCAAAAUUUCAAAGCUUUUUAGUGCUGAACUUAAGAUAAUUUUGAAAUGGCAAAUAAUUGAGAAAUAUAUAUCUAUGUACAUACAUAAAACAAGCUAACAUUAGCCACUAUUCGUAUUGGACACUAUUCAUCACCUCCCAUUGUCAACCUCCACUUUUUUCUUUUUCUUAUUUAUUUAUUUGUUUAUAUUUUUCGCUCUAUUCACACAAUCAUCACCUUCACUCCAAGUUCAUUCAUGCACUGCUGUUGUCACGCUUCAACUAGCUACGUAUUGUUCAUAAACAGUUUAUUUACUGUUCAUUAGUAAGUGCUCUAUAAAUGCAGCCCUAAUCCUUUCCCUUUCCCUCAAACGCAUUUGCAGUCAUCGAUUUAGUACUGCAAUUCGGGUUGAGUACACAACCGCUCCGAGCAAUUUCUCUCCAAAACCAGAGGCAUAGCGUCUUCAAACGUUCUUCACUCUUCGAAGAAGUAUAAAAUAGAAAAGGUACUAAAUAGUUAAUAACAAUAAUCUGCUUCUUCUUUGUGUACACGCUCAUAAUUUUAUGUUAUAAAUUACAAAGAAUAAAUUUGUGCAAGUGUUUCUCUUGGAACCAACUUGCUUGCUGAUUUUAUUUGUGUAGAUAACUGUUGUUGCGAGGGACAUGGUGAAGAAGAAUAGAUCUUCUAAAAGAAAGCUAGAGAUGGAGAUGUAGCCAUAAGUGAAGGAUUUACUUCUGAGAUUAUAUCUGAUAAAAGUAAGUACUUAUGAAACAUUAUCUAUUGUCUAUUCUAAAGUGAUGGAAAUUUUCUAAUUCAAAGUACGGGGAAAUAUAUGAUUUUUAGUGGUAUGUUUUGUACUCGAAACAAAACGAGCAAGGUAAAAUGUCCUUACAUACUAAGGCCCUGUUUGAGCCCCAUUUUGGAGAAAAAUAGGCUUUGAACAAAAUGUGUGAUUGAAGAAUAGAAAAAAAAAUUGAGUUUACGUGUAAAAUUAUUGGUUUCAAAUGAGCUUUUAAAAAAAAUUGAGCUCAAAUGUAAAAUAUAGUUCAUGUGAGAGCUAUAGAUUGAAUGGAUUGCGGACAUUGAAAUAUUGGAUGGAAAUACAAUUCAGUUACCUCUGCACAUGAAUCAGAUUUGUGCAGACUGAUAUUUCUGUUGGAAAAAAAAAAAUUGAGUUAUGGGCUGACUUUAGCACGAGUUUUGAGUGGAAUCCGGUUGUUCAAUUUGGAAGAUCAAAGUUGAUUUAUGUUCUCCUCUGUGAGUACAUCGAAAUCAUAUACUUACUUGUCAAAGAUGAUGCUCGGGUGAAUGAGAAAUUGAGACUCAAAGUGUGCCACUCAAAAGGGAGUUUAUGUGGGAAAAAUGAAUUUGUCCCACAUAGGAAAAAGAUGAGAAACUCCAAAGGUCAUUGCCAUUAAUGGUAGCUUAGCCUAUAAAUAGUGGCUCAUUUUCCUCAUUUCAAUACACCAAAGCAAAAGUUUUCAAGUUUAGAAUACACAAAAAAUUCAUUUGCAUAGAGUUCUGUCUUUUCUGCAUUUCUGUCUUGGUGGUGGUGUAGUUCAGGCACUAGUUCAGUUUGCCGGAGUGGUUUCUGCGAUGCUCGGAAGCUACUGGUUUUACCGUUGUAUCCUAAGAAACGGACGUUCGUUUUAAACCUCAAGCACGGACGGUGAGGGGACGAAUCUGUUUUAAGAAAACUGUGUGUAACACAGGCCUCGGUUUGAAAUUUCAUUCCCUACAAUUUCAAUUAUUCGUUCUGUUAUUUAUUGCAAUAAAUUCAAUAGUUGAUUUGUUGUUCAUUCUGUUAUUAUCCAAUUAGUUGUGCGACUGUAACUUGCUGUUAUAUAUCAUUUUACCAGACAAAAGACAUAUACGGUAUUGAAAUCGAGAAUAUCGGAUUCCUCAUUUUUCAUAAACUUACCGAAUUUCAGAAAAGCUUGGUUGACCGAACUGGUGAAACUUGAGAUUUUCCCUACAAGCUUAAAACAGAUUUUCAGAAAGGAAAAAUUGGUUUCUUAUAUUGAUUAUUUCUGAACUGAUUAGUUUCUUAUAUUUGUUAUAUUGUGGAAACUAAUUUGUUGUUUGGUUCUUUCAGAAGACAAAAUGGCAACUGGUUCCACCAACAUGGAUUCCAACAUGGAUGUGUCCCAAGCUGUAGGUACCCAAACUCAGGCUGUGGGUUCUACUAUGGGUGCAGGGCCUAGUUCGGUUAUGGGUGUAGCUAUGGCUGCAGGGCCUAGCUCUGUUAUGGCUCAAACUGUGGCUCCGAUUCUAGAUGGAAGGUUGAGAUGUUAAUUUUUUAUGCUUGGAAAUGUUCAGCAAGCCCUUUGGGGAGUUAUACUUUGGCUUUUAUUUUCUGUAAACCUUGGCAAUGCUUUCAACAGCACAUGGUAUUUUUUUUUCAUUAUCCUUGGUUUGAGCAUGACUCCUAGUUUCACAUUCUGGAGUUCAAACUUGAAAGUCAGUUGGGAAGUGCUCGGCUUGUGUUUAGUCAUAAGGGAAGAUUAAUCGACAUAUCGCAUUUAAUCGUUCUUAACUGCUUUUGUAGAGGCUAAAAAAUAAUGAGAACGAAUAAGGAAUGCUAAAAUUGAAUAUGUGAAUGACUCUUUCUCAUUCUAUAUGAUUGGUGAGUAGCUCUUACUGAAACAAUAUCCUGAUAUUAAUGGGGUUGUGCAUUCUUUUUGUUGUUUCUCUCUAUAUAUGAUAUUCCUUCUCAAUCUUCUACAUACUUAACCUUGCCACCAUUGCUUCUUUCAAAGUUGGGUUAUUCUACCACCUCGUUAACAAUGGGGAAUUCUUACUGUUUUGACUAUCUGUUUGUGCUAUGCACGGUUCAGGAUUUACCAAAAUCCAGCCCUUUUAAGGGCUGCUGGUGCAGCAUUCUGGACAUCAUGUCGUGCUAUCUCAAAGCUGUUGUGAGCUACACUGGCGAC
rnacentral:lncRNA from 1 species